UACGUAGGGAGCAAGCGUUGUCCGGAAUCAUUGGGCGUAAAGCGCGCGUAGGUGGCCACAUAAGUCCGUUGUGAAAGUCAAAGGCUCAACCUUUGAAAGCCGAUGGAUACUGUGUGGCUAGAGUACGGAAGAGGCGAGUGGAAUUCCUGGUGUAGCGGUGAAAUGCGCAGAUAUCAGGAAGAACACCCGUGGCGAAGGCGGCUCUCUGGGACGGUACUGACGCUGAGACGCGAAAGCGUGGGGAGCGAACAGG
rnacentral:rRNA from 1 species